AGGAUUAUAGUUUAUCUAAAACUUUUGAUUUGCACUCAAAUAAAAUUAAUUUAUUAAUUUAUCUUA
rnacentral:tRNA from 1 species